rnacentral:rRNA from 1 species
CAGUAGCCGCGGUAAAACGAGGGGGGCAAGCGUUGUUCGGAAUUAUUGGGCGUAAAGGGUGCGUAGGCGGUUUGACAAGCCUUAUGUGAAAUCUCUGGGCUCAACCCAGAGUCUGCAUGGGAAACUGUCGGGCUUGAGUAUGGGAGAGGUGAGUGGAACUCCGAGUGUAGAGGUGAAAUUCGUAGAUAUUCGGAAGAACACCAGUGGCGAAGGCGACUCACUGGCCCAUUACUGACGCUGAGGCUCGAAAGCGUGGGGAGCAAACAGGAUUAGAUACCCCCGUAGUCCCUGUCUCUUAUAC